rnacentral:rRNA from 1 species
GAUGAACGCUGGCGGCGUGCCUAAUACAUGCAAGUCGAGCGAACGGACGAGAAGCUUGCUUUUCUGAUGUUAGCGGCGGACGGGUGAGUAACACGUGGAUAACCUACCUAUAAGACUGGGAUAACUUCGGGAAACCGGAGCUAAUACCGGAUAAUAUUUUGAACCGCAUGGUUCAAAAGUGAAAGACGGUCUUGCUGUCACUUAUAGAUGGAUCCGCGCUGCAUUAGCUAGUUGGUAAGGUAACGGCUUACCAAGGCCACGAUGCAUAGCCGACCUGAGAGGGUGAUCGGCCACACUGGAGCUGAGACACGGUCCAGACUCCUACGGGAGGCAGCAGUAGGGAAUCUUCCGCAAUGGGCGAAAGCCUGACGGAGCAACGCCGCGUGAGUGAUGAAGGUCUUCGGAUCGUAAAACUCUGUUAUUAGGGAAGAACAUAUGUGUAAGUAACUGUGCACAUCUUGACGGUACCUAAUCAGAAAGCCACGGCUAACUACGUG